rnacentral:tRNA from 1 species
GGGCGUGUAGCUCAGGGGUAGAGCGUUCGCUUUGCACGCGAAAGGUCUAGGGUUCGAUUCCCUAUUCGUCCA